AAAUGGACUCUCAGCAACGGAUAUCUUGGCUCUUGCAACGAUG
rnacentral:rRNA from 2 species